AAGGAAGGGAGGAAGGAAGGAAGGAAGGUCCGUUAAAAAAAUAACAAAAAAUAGGCAAAGGACUUCAAAGGACAUUUCUGCAAAGAAGUUACAUGAAUAACCAACAAGCAUAUGAAAGGAUGCUCAACAUCACUAAUCACUGGAGAAAUGCAAAUCAAAACCACAAUGAGAUAGUUGAGUGUACCCCAUACUCAUUAGGGUGGCCACUAUCUGAAAAAAAACCCAGAAUUCUCUAAUUUUUUAUGGAGAAAUUAGAACACUGUGCACUGCUGGUAGGAAUAUAAAAUGGUGCAGUCCCAGUGAAAAACAGUAUGAAGUUUCCUUUAAAAACAAAAAUAGGGCUGGGAUUACAGGCGUGAGCCACCGCGCCCGGCCAGGCCCCACUUUCAACACUGGGGAUUACAAUUCAACAUGAGAUUUGAGUGGGGACAGAUUCAAACCAUAUCACCAUGCAAUAAUCAAUCUGAAGUUCAAAUUGAAUUGGGUAUUCUGUAUUUUAUCUGGCAACUCUAUUUCAGAAUCACCUCUCUAAAAUGCAAAUCUGAUCUGUUUAAUCUAUUGCUAUCUUAAUGUGACUUCACAGGUAAAUAAUCUUCCUCAAAAGAGACUGUAUUUAUCAGCUGGAAGGAGUAUUUGGGUCAAUUGAAAAAUCAUAUUUCUCAUUUUUGACCAGAGAAUCAGCAUAGUGAAGAGCAUUUUCCCAGCACCAUUUUUUUUUUGGUGUCAUGGGCCAUCCAUACCAUGACUUUUUUCAGUAAGUUUGAGAUCUAUAUUAAAUUAAUUUACUUUUUAAAUUUUGCAUUACACUAAGUAAUGAUAUCCAUGAAAUCACCACUCCAAUGAGCUACUGAUUUUUUAUACCUAUUACAAUAAACACAGGGCUACAAUAAAUUUUUAUUCCUAUGUUAUCUAAAACUUGCACGUACACUCUGGGAAAUACCAAUAGAGGAAGGAGAGCUGUGCUGGCGCUGGUCUGAUCUGACUCAUACUCUACCAUCCCGGAGCCUCAAUCACUGUCUGGUUGGAGAGGAGAAGGCCCUGGUGUGCUGGCAAACCCUGAACUUGACUGGAUUAGAUUAGGAUGAGAGGGACAGGACAGUCAGGCUUCUGAUAAGGAUGGAAAAGUGGGAAUUGGAGUUCAGCCUCCAGGAAUCCUGCAGGCCCCCUGGUAGUGGAGCCAUAUAUGUAUUUGGGGUCCCACUACCAGAGAGGAGAUACAUGGGGACCGGUGAGGGCCAAGAACGUGGCCAGAGGUUGUGGUUGAGGAGUUUAGGACCCCAGAUGAAAAACUCCUGUCUCCAGGGGCUGAAAGCAGAUACUUAAGAAUUCUUCUUGUGGGAUUUGGACACAGACUGUGAUCUACCUGCCUGCACAAUGUCUCAUUGUUCCUGACUUGUUAAGAAAGCUUCUCCUGAUACUUGGUAGCAGUUCAGGUUGAUGUCAGCCCCUGGGCUGUCCAGCAGAAAGAUUUUCCCAGGUUUCUCAGUGGAGACUGGAGCCACCAGAACUGUGACACCCUGAACUUGAACCAACCAGCCAGUCUUGUCAGGUACCUCUGACCCGAAAGGUCAUGCCAAGAGCCCAGAGGCUCUGAUCAUGAUCUCAGCACUUCAUCCACAUAAAGGAGCCCACUGUUGUGUUUCCCAAAUGCUGCAAGGCUCUUUUGCUCCGGGUUUCACUGAUCCGCCCCUCCUUUUAAAAAGACUCUUGGAUUCUGCCAACAUUACUCUAGGCCUCCACUCUCUGCUCACCAAAGCCUAAGCCCUGUGGCCUUAGGGCCGAUAAGUCCUUGGAUACAUUUCCCAGUGUGUUUUUCCUUGGUGGGCCGGUGAGACAAGAGACGAUGGGGGUCUUUACUGUACUCAUGUGACACAUGGCUGUUCUGCAUGCGGCAAGGCAGAGGGGCUGGGAAGGAGGGAGAGUAUGAAGUGUCUGUUUUGUGCCAAGCAUUGAGCUAAGCCAAUUGUCACAAUAAUCCUGGAGGCAGAUACCAUCAUCUUCAGUUUAUAGAUGAGGAAAGCUAAGCUCAGAGAGAUUAAAUAACUGUGAACGGCAGAAAAAACCGAGCCGGAAUUAGACUUCAGAUCUUCUGACCUUAAGUCUGGUGCUCUUUGAGUCAUGCCACCUGAAAUCAAUUUGAGAGAAAGGGCAAUUGUUGGCUCAAUUUUGAUGAAAUAAGAAUUUGAGGGGACACCCUCUGUGUGCCUAAGGAUGAGGCCCAACACAGGGAACAGAAUUCAGGAGACUCUGCAAGGGCAGAACAUACUGGUAACAUGUCCUGCAGGCUUUAACUCCUAUUCUUUUUUCAUGAUUGUUCCACAGUCUUCUUUCCUAAGGACUAUUAUCAGAUCCAUAUACCCAUGUUAGUUAGAGUAAAUGUUAGGCUUCUGUAACAAAUAAACCCAAAAUAUAAUGGCUUAAACUUAAGUUUAUCUCUCUCACAUAAAAUUCCAGGUGAGUGGUUCAGAGCUGGUACACCACAAAAUGUCUUGCUCAGCUCCUAUCAUCACAUCUUGCAUCCCUACCAUCAAGAUGGAGGAGAACAUGCAACUUCUUUUUAAGAGUCUGGCCUUGAGGAUUGCACAUAUCACCUCUACUUAUAUCUCAUGUUGUCCCAAACAAUGACAUGAACAAUUGUAGCUGCAAGGGAAGUUGGGAAAUAGAGUCUUUAUCUGAGUUUCCAUGUACACAGUAAAAAAACUUCUGUUGCUAUAGAAAAGAGAAAAAAAUUGGGGAGAACAUAGAGGAGCCACUACUAUAAUAAUUUUGGAACACUCUUACAUGAAUUGAUAGGCCAUUUAUGUUUUCUUUAAGAAGUCUGGGCCAGGCGUGGU
rnacentral:lncRNA from 1 species